UGGGGAAUUUUGGACAAUGGGCGAAAGCCUGAUCCAGCAAUGCCGCGUGUGUGAAGAAGGCCUUCGGGUUGUAAAGCACUUUUGUCCGGAAAGAAAUCCUUGGCUCUAAUACAGUCGGGGGAUGACGGUACCGGAAGAAUAAGCACCGGCUAACUACGUGCCAGCAGCCGCGGUAAUACGUAGGGUGCAAGCGUUAAUCGGAAUUACUGGGCGUAAAGCGUGCGCAGGCGGUUUGCUAAGACCGAUGUGAAAUCCCCGGGCUCAACCUGGGAACUGCAUUGGUGACUGGCAGGCUAGAGUAUGGCAGAGGGGGGUAGAAUUCCACGUGUAGCAGUGAAAUGCGUAGAGAUGUGGAGGAAUACCGAUGGCGAAGGCAGCCCCCUGGCAAGUACUGACGCUCAUGCACGAAAAGCGUGGGGAGCAAACAGGAUUAGAUACCCUGGUAGUCCACGCCCUAAAACGAUGUCAACUAGUUGUUGGGGGAUUCAUUUCCUUAGUAACGUAGCUAACGCGUGAAGUUGACCGCCUGGGGAGUACGGUCGCAAGAUUAAAAACUCAAAGG
rnacentral:rRNA from 1 species